CACGGGGGGAGCAAGCGUUGUUCGGAAUCACUGGGCGUAAAGGGCGUGUAGGCGGUCAAGUAAGUGGAAUGUGAAAUGCCCCGGCUCACCCGGGGACCGGCAUCCCAAACUGCUUGGCUUGAGUAUGGGAGAGGAUGAGGGAAUUCCUGGUGUAGCGGUGAAAUGCGUAGAUAUCAGGAGGAACACCGGUGGCGAAAGCGCUCAUCUGGCCCAAUACUGACGCU
rnacentral:rRNA from 1 species